ACAGCUGAUUCGAACUAUCAAAAAUUGUGUAGCUACAAAAAUAUUUACAUGUAAGCAAUGCCUCGCAGAAGUGGAAAAGAAAAAUUACUAAACGGACUGUGUUUAAAAAACAUGUUGGAAUUGCUGCUCCAAGAUUCAAGAAGUGAAGAUGAGGACUGCGAUAUUCUAAUGGACUUUAAUGUUAGUGCAGCAAUAAUUUUGUCCUCAAGAAGAUGCAGCCACGUAAAUGUGCCAAAAUCUACAAAUUGGAUUAACACAAUCCAUACAAUCGUAUGCGGCAAAUGUUACGACUGGAAACUCCGGAAUUUCAACAUAUUUUAAGCUUAAUCAAAGAAGAUACUGCUUUUAAAAAUAAAAAUUCGGUUCCUCAAAUGCCAGUGGAAUUGCAAUUAAA
rnacentral:lncRNA from 1 species